rnacentral:rRNA from 1 species
GACGAACGCUGGCGGCGUGCUUAACACAUGCAAGUCGAACGGAAAGGCCCUGCUUGCAGGGUACUCGAGUGGCGAACGGGUGAGUAACACGUGGGUGAUCUGCCCUGCACUUCGGGAUAAGCCUGGGAAACUGGUCCUAAUACGGGAAGGAGGCCAUUUUAGGGGGGUGGGUGGGAAGGUUUUUUCGGUGUUGGAUGAGCUCGCGGCCUAUCAGCUUGUUGGUGGGGUAAUGGCCUACCAAGGCGGCGACGGGUAGCCGGCCUGAGAGGGUGGACGGCCACAUUGGGACUGAGAUACGGCCCAGACUCCUACGGGAGGCAGCAGUGGGGAAUAUUGCACAAUGGGCGCAAGCCUGAUGCAGCGACGCCGCGUGGGGGAUGACGGCCUUCGGGUUGUAAACUCCUUUCGCUAGGGACGAAGCUUUUUGUGACGGUACCUAGAUAAGAAGCACCGGCUAACUACGUG